rnacentral:rRNA from 1 species
GACGAACGCUGGCGGCGUGCCUAAUACAUGCAAGUCGAACGCUUCUUUCCUCCCGAGUGCUUGCACUCAAUUGGAAAGAGGAGUGGCGGACGGGUGAGUAACACGUGGGUAACCUACCCAUCAGAGGGGGAUAACACUUGGAAACAGGUGCUAAUACCGCAUAACAGUUUAUGCCGCAUGGCAUAAGAGUGAAAGGCGCUUUCGGGUGUCGCUGAUGGAUGGACCCGCGGUGCAUUAGCUAGUUGGUGAGGUAACGGCUCACCAAGGCCACGAUGCAUAGCCGACCUGCGAGGGUGAUCGGCCACACUGGGACUGAGACACGGCCCAGACUCCUACGGGAGGCAGCAGUAGGGAAUCUUCGGCAAUGGACGAAAGUCUGACCGAGCAACGCCGCGUGAGUGAAGAAGGUUUUCGGAUCGUAAAACUCUGUUGUUAGAGAAGAACAAGGACGUUAGUAACUGAACGUCCCCUGACGGUAUCUAACCAGAAAGCCACGGCUAACUACGUG